CAAUAGCGUAUAUUAAAGUUGUUGCAGUUAAAAAGCUCGUAGUUGGAUUUCUGGUUGAAGCGACCGGUCGGGCGUUGAUUCGUCUGCACUGGAGUCGGUUUUGGCCAUCCUCUAGGAAAGUGCGUCUGGUAUUAAGUUAUCGGGCGUAUGAUCCUGGUCUUUUACUGUGAAAAAAUUAGAGUGUUUAAAGCAGGCCUUCGCCCUGAAUACAUUAGCAUGGAAUAAUAAGAUAGGACUUUGGUCUAUUUUGUUGGUUUGCAGACCGAAGUAAUGAUUAAUAGGGAUAGUUGGGGGUAUUUAUAUUCCGAUGUCAGAGGUGAAAUUCUUAGAUUUUCGGAAGAUAAACUUAUGCGAAAGCAUUUACCAAGGAUGUUUNCAUUAA
rnacentral:rRNA from 1 species